GCCAGGCAUGGUGGCGUGUGCCUGUAGUCCCAGCUACUCGGGAGGCUGAGGCUGGAGGAUCUCUUGAGUCCAGGAGUUCUGGGCUGUGAUCGCUAUGCCAAUCACAUAAGUCUGCACUAAGUUCAGCCUCAAUAUGGUUACCUCCCUGGAGCAGGGGACCACCAGGUUGCCUAAGGAGGGGUGAACCAGCCCAGGUCAGAAACGGAGCAGGUCAAAACUCCCAUGCUGAUCAAUAGUGGGAUCGCACCCGUGAAUAGCCACUGCACUCCAGCCUGGGCAACAUAGCAAGACCCCAUCCCUA
ensembl:misc_RNA Metazoa_SRP Metazoan signal recognition particle RNA